CCCAUUAUCGAUUACAUCAAGCUCUCCUUGCUCCUCCCUCGAUGUUUUAAUCUUGGGUUUCUUUUCCACUGUGCUCUUAUCAUCCCCUUGGACAUCUUUCUUCAAAAAUUUCUCAUUUGUUUUCCUCCUUUUCAGCUUAAAGUCCUCCAUAUCAAUAUGAUUACCAUUAUCUUGCUCCUCCGAUGUAUUCCUCUUUAAUUUCCUUUCAAACACAUCAUCCCUUCCAUACACUGGAACUUCAUCCUUCCUUGACAGUUUGUCCCUCAUUUUCUUCUCUUUCUUUAAAUCCUUCUCUAAAUUAGCAUCACUAACAUUACCAAAAUGACCAUGUCUACUUUGAUCCAUCUCAUGUUCAGAGAGUUUAUUUUCCCUUAUGGUAUCUUGUUUCUUUUCCUUGGGGGCUUCUAGCUCUUUAGCAGGGAUAAUUGAAAAAUCAUCUACUCUACCAACACUGCCACCAUCUCCUUUCUUGUUGUUUUUAUCUAUUGGUCUAGCAUUGAAUAUAUGCAAACUUGGCAACAAUUUUAGGACC
rnacentral:misc_RNA from 1 species